rnacentral:lncRNA from 1 species
GACUUUUCCUAAUUGGAAGAAUUUGAAACCAUGCAUUUUUGCUGCAGUUUUCUGUCGGAUGAGGAAAACAUUGUCAUCUUAAACUUAGCAGUUUAAAAAGGCACUGUGGAAGACCUCGGGAAAAAUUUGAAGAUGUUUCUGUGCUAUUGGCUGGAAAACCAGAGUACUACUAUAUCCUGGAUCUCUAGAGAUAGCAAGAGCUAUCUCUACCUAAGAUGGGUAGUUGGAGAAAGUGGAGAGAGAAAGAGGAUGACUGAAUUUGUAGGUACCACCGUUUCUGCGUUCAGCCUGAAUGGGCACUCCUUCCUAAGGUUAAACAAAACACGAAAACCACAAAGAAUGUUUGCAAUUAUUUUCUCUUGGUUGGCGGAACAGAUGCCUUUCCUUAAGGAAAACGCCUUAGGCCAAAACAAAGCCAUAUUCAUUCAAAAUAUAUUGUUUAGUAAUUGUGCAGAGUCUGGAUUACAUAAAAUUUACUUGCAGUGCAAGGGUCCCCACUUUUUCUAGGAAAGGUUUAUACCCAAAAUGGAGCAGGAAGACAGGCAGAGGAUAAAGCGUUAAAAGAAUCGACGAUGCCAAGGGCAAGUGCAGUUCAAGAAACGGCAAUGCAAGUGCACUGAAAGGAAACCAGGCAAUGCGACCGUGAUUUUGUCUAGGGGUCACGCAGGAGCACCUGGCUGGCUUUAUUUAUAAGGUGAUUGUCAAAUCAAUCUGUGGAAUAUGGAUGAGGUGAAACGCAGAGGUAGGGUAUUAUUCUAGAUCAUCUGUAACUUUUCAAAUACAACCCUCAUGCUGAAAUUCCAGGGAGAAUGUAAGGGACUCCAAUAAAAAAACCUGUCAGUCACUGCAGAGUGUUUAUUUAUUAUCCCCCUGAGCCAGGCACUGUUCUAGCCAAUAUGAAAUGAUACAAAAUAAAGAGUAGUCAUCACCCUUAUAAUCUCAUGAGAGCAAAUGGAUUAGGUCUGCAGACACACACACACACACACACACACACACACACACCCUCUAUGUGGGUGGUCAAGAAAUGUCAACUCUAGGGACGUUUAACAGCCUCAUUUAGAAAAGUCCUGAUUAGAAAACCCAACUUACAAAAUGAGAAAAACCGGGGAGUAGUUUUAUUGCAAAUAGAUUCAAACACGCUCAUAAAGCAUGUCUUUUACAUAACAAGCCUCCUUACGUUAUUAAAAUUGGGAACACUGCCCCUCUCCCUUGCAGAUCCCCCAAAACAUUUCUGGAACCUAUUUAUUGUGCAAAUAUGGAUUCACACUGGUGUUGAGGAGUUGCCAAAGGGCAUAGAAUAACAAGCCUCUGUCCGCUAACCUGUAAAUUCUCUGAAGUCCAGGAGUGGGCCUCGUUCCACCGCCUUGCUCCCUUGCACUGUGAAGAUGGAAGUGGCAGAGGGGUAAGAAGGAA